rnacentral:tRNA from 1 species
AAGGACGUAGCUUAAUGGUAAGAGCGCACCAGCAAUGGUGAGAUGCGAGUUCAACCCUCGCCGUCC